rnacentral:rRNA from 1 species
UACGUAGGGAGCAAGCGUUGUCCGGAAUCAUUGGGCGUAAAGCGCGCGUAGGCGGCCCGAUAAGUCCGCUGUGAAAGUCAACGGCUCAACUGUUGGAUGCCGGUGGAUACUGUCGGGCUAGAGUACGGAAGAGGCAAGUGGAAUUCCUGGUGUAGCGGUGGAAUGCGCAGAUAUCGAGGAGGAACACCGAUGGCGAAGGCAGGUCUCUGGGCAUUAACUGACGCUGAGGAGCGAAAGCAUGGGGAGCGAACAGG